UGCUCUAUCGCCAAAGGGUAAGGCACAGGACUUUGACUCCUGCAUUUGUUGGUUCGAAUCCAACUAGGGCAG
rnacentral:tRNA from 1 species